rnacentral:lncRNA from 1 species
UGCCCCGAUAACUUGAAACUCAUUAACCCAAUAAUCCAAACCCAAUAACUCAAACCCAAUAACUCGACCCCAAUAACUCGAACCCCCUUGACCUAAUAAGCCAAACCCGAUGGCUUGAAAACUAUCAACUUGCUAACUCGCUAAACCUGAACCCGUUAACCUGAGUUCAUUUACCAACUGAUCCAAAUCUUUCAACACAAACCCAUUAAACUGAUUUAAUAACCUAAACCCACUAUCCUUACCCGAUAACCC